rnacentral:rRNA from 1 species
CGAUGUGGGAAGGCCCAGACAGCCAGGAUGUUGGCUUAGAAGCAGCCAUCAUUUAAAGAAAGCGUAAUAGCUCACUGGUCGAGUCGGCCUGCGCGGAAGAUGUAACGGGGCUAAACCAUGCACCGAAGCUGCGGCAGCGAACGUAUCACUUAAAGCGAUUCAGCGGGUUACGAUUGACGGAGCGAAGCGACGUCAAAGCGUAUACAAAGUCGAGUCGGUUUAAGGAUACGUUCGUUGGGUAGGGGAGCGUUCUGUAAGCCUGUGAAGGUGGCCUGUGAGGGUUGCUGGAGGUAUCAGAAGUGCGAAUGCUGACAUAAGUAACGAUAAAGCGGGUGAAAAGCCCGCUCGCCGGAAGACCAAGGGUUCCUGUCC